CGCGGUAAUUCCAGCUCUCAAAGUGUAUAUCGUCAUUGCUGCGGUUAAAAAGCUCGUAGUUUGAAAUGCGCUACAGGAUUCGGUCCGUCCUAUGGGCGUGAACUGAACCCCUGGGCUUGUAUUGUUGGUUUUCCUUACGUUACCUUGAUCGGUUGCGUAAGGUGACUAACGAGUUUACUUUGAAAAAAUUAGAGUGCUUAAUGCGGGCUUAUGCCUGAAUAUUCGUGCAUGGAAUAAUGGAAUAGGAUCUCGGUUCUAUUUUGUUGGUUUUCUGAUCUGAGAUAAUGGUUAAGAGGGACAGACGGGGGCAUUCGUAUCGCUGCGUGAGAGGUGAAAUUCUUGGACCGUAGCGAGACGCCCGACUGCGAAAGCAUUUGCCAAGAAUGUCUUCAU
rnacentral:rRNA from 1 species